rnacentral:rRNA from 1 species
GAUGAACGCUGGCGGCGUGCUUAACACAUGCAAGUCGAACGAAGCACUUUGAUCGAUUUCUUCGGAUUGAAAUUUUAGUGACUGAGUGGCGGACGGGUGAGUAACGCGUGGGUAACCUGCCUCACACAGGGGGAUAACAGUUGGAAACGGCUGCUAAUACCGCAUAAGCGCACAGUACCGCAUGGUACGGUGGGAAAAACUCCGGUGGUGUGAGAUGGACCCGCGUCUGAUUAGCUAGUUGGCAGGGCAACGGCCUACCAAGGCGACGAUCAGUAGCCGACCUGAGAGGGUGACCGGCCACAUUGGGACUGAGACACGGCCCAAACUCCUACGGGAGGCAGCAGUGGGGAAUAUUGCACAAUGGGGGAAACCCUGAUGCAGCGACGCCGCGUGAGCGAAGAAGUAUUUCGGUAUGUAAAGCUCUAUCAGCAGGGAAGAAGAAAUGACGGUACCUAACUAAGAAGCACCGGCUAAAUACGUGCCAGCCGCCGCGGUAA